rnacentral:snRNA from 1 species
GGGGGUCAGUGUAUUCUGACUCUUGCAUUUUGACUCUUCGACACUAUUGCCUUCUUCAAUAGAGGAAGACUAUUCUUCCAUCAAGGGUAUGGAGUAAUUCAAGGAGCUGCAUGUCCCUGCUAGAACCUCCAAGCAAGGUCUCAAGGUCCACUUGUGGGAGAACAUAGGGGUGCUUAACCUUCUGAGAUGUCAAACAACCAAAUGAAGUGCUAUGCAAGGCAAUCUCCCUUU